CUUGUCUUCCCCCUCGGGGCCUAGAGGAGGCUACGCGCGGCGUCUCCGAGCUCUAGGGUCCGGAGCUCUAGGGUCCUUUUAUGUAGCAAAGUCAGGCCUGGGAACAGAACUUCAUGUGCUUGUAAAAAGUCUCAGGUGCGUUCUCGUUGUUUUAGAGACUUGGAGAGGAAUGGGGGCGGGGGGAACAAAAUCCGAGGACAGUCGAGCCAAGAAAAGUCGGGGCUUCUAGGAUGCCAACCACGCCAAACAGAUCAAAACCAGGACUGGAGGACUGAAGAUGAAGCCGGCAAAAAGUCACCAGCCACGGCUGUUGUAAGGUAUGCUUCACCUCUCCUGCUAAGUCUUCAUCCCUGUCUAUGAGGACAAAGAAGUUACGGGUUAAAUUGGCGAUGGGCCAGGCGCUCCUUGAGGAUGCUCUAAAAUUGGUGAUAGAAAAUGGGAGAACUGAAGACAACCACUUUAUAAAACCUUUGCCUGCUUGAAUUUGUGGUGAUGAACUGGUCCCUGGGAUUUGCUGCUCAGGACCUGAGUUCACUGAGACAUCAGGAACAAGCAGUGGAGGCCGGGUGCUGCUGGACCCAGAUGGGAGCCAUGUGGGACUUGACCAUGGCCUGCACACACUUCUUCCCAGGAGAAGGGGAAUGAGGAAGGUCUGGAUCCCCUCGGGCUGCCACCAGGAUCACCAGAAAGUUUGUUAAAUAGAGAAGCACUUGAUAGAAGGCACCUGGAUAAGGAUGGACAGAAACCAGAGGCCUUGGCUAUCUGGAUUCUGACUUCUUCAAAAAGAUGAGAUGAUAGAUGAGAAAAGUCCGUCCGUGGUGUUAGAGACUUUGGCCCACACCCAUGCCGUGCAGCUCUGCCAGGGCCUACCUGCUUGACUCAACCCUUUUUGUUCCCUCACCCUCUCUGGGUAACUGAGAGAUUUAUACCUUGGCUAUCCUGGGAAUGUCUUUCUAAACUAAUAAAAUUGUUCUUGAGUUUCCUUCUGA
ensembl:processed_transcript